GACGAACGCUGGCGGCGUGCUUAACACAUGCAAGUCGAACGGAAAGGCCCUGCUUUUGUGGGGUGCUCGAGUGGCGAACGGGUGAGUAACACGUGAGUAACCUGCCCUUGACUUUGGGAUAACUUCAGGAAACUGGGGCUAAUACCGGAUAGGAGCUCCUGCUGCAUGGUGGGGGUUGGAAAGUUUCGGCGGUUGGGGAUGGACUCGCGGCUUAUCAGCUUGUUGGUGGGGUAGUGGCUUACCAAGGCUUUGACGGGUAGCCGGCCUGAGAGGAUGACCGGCCACAUUGGGACUGAGAUACGGCCCAGACUCCUACGGGAGGCAGCAGUGGGGAAUAUUGCACAAUGGGCGGAAGCCUGAUGCAGCAACGCCGCGUGCGGGAUGACGGCCUUCGGGUUGUAAACCGCUUUCGCCUGUGACGAAGCGUGUGUGACGGUAAUGGGUAAAGAAGCACCGGCUAACUACGUG
rnacentral:rRNA from 1 species